rnacentral:rRNA from 1 species
UACGGGGGGGGCUAGCGUUGUUCGGAAUUACUGGGCGUAAAGGGCGCGUAGGCGGCCUACUAAGUCGGACGUGAAAAUCCCUCGGCUCAACCGGGGAACUGCGUCCGAUACUGGUGGGCUCGAAUCCGGGAAGAGGGAUGUGGAAUUCCAGGUGUAGCGGUGAAAUGCGUAGAUAUCUGGAGGAACACCGGUGGCGAAGGCGGCAUCCUGGACCGGUAUUGACGCUGGAUGCGCGAAAGCCAGGGGAGACAAACGGG